AAUUGUAAAUGUGAUGCUAGGUGGUUCCUAGAGGGGUCGAGUGUAAACGAGUUGGUCCGGGUGUGUCAAGUUCUGCUCUUCAUGAACUACUUUGGUAACUGCUCUAACAUAUACAGAAUUUCUUCUUAUUUUACCAUUCAAAUAGAGCAUGCUUCAGAGUGACCCUGAAUCAUGAUCUGAAAAACUACACCUGAUGAGCCACUGCUAGGAGAUAGCCAACUGCCAGCCUGUUAAGUUUGGACUCUGAAUAACUGUAAUGCU
rnacentral:lncRNA from 7 species